AUUGAACGCUGGCGGCAGGCCUAACACAUGCAAGUCGAGCGGAUGAAGGGAGCUUGCCCCUGGAUUCAGCGGCGGACGGGUGAGUAAUGCCUAGGAAUCUGCCUGGUAGUGGGGGAUAACGUCCGGAAACGGGCGCUAAUACCGCAUACGUCCUGAGGGAGAAAGUGGGGGAUCUUCGGACCUCACGCUAUCAGAUGAGCCUAGGUCGGAUUAGCUAGUUGGUGGGGUAAAGGCCUACCAAGGCGACGAUCCGUAACUGGUCUGAGAGGAUGAGCAGUCACUCUUGAACUGAGACACGGUCCAGACUCCUACGGGAGGCAGCCGUGGGGAAUAUUGGACCAUGGGCGCAAGCCUGAUCCAGCCAUGCCGCGUGUGUGAAGAAGGUCUUCGGAUUGUAAAGCACUUUAAGUUGGGAGGAAGGGCAGUAAGUUAUUACCGUGCUGUUUUGACGUUACCAACAGAAUAAGCACCGGCUAACUUCGUG
rnacentral:rRNA from 1 species